GGGGUUGUGGCUCAGAGGUAGAGCACUUCCCUGGCAUGUGAGGCACUAGGUUUGAUUCCCAGCACCA
rnacentral:tRNA from 1 species